AGUGAACGCUGGCGGUGCGCCUAAAACAUGCAAGUCGAGCGCCCUGGACUUUGCGAUUGAAGAAACCAAAGAUGCCGAAGAAACCGAAGAUACCGAAGAGUUUUUACUCCUCGGCCUCGUCGGACUCCUCGGUUUCCUCGGAUUCCUCGAUACUAAAGUCCAGGGAGCGGCAAACGGCUGCGUAACACGUGGAUACCUGCCUCGAACUCAGGGAUAACCCUCCGAAAGGAGGGCUAAUACCGGAUAGCUCGUAAGAGUAAAGCUUUUGCGGUUCGAGAGGGGUCUGCGGCCUAUCAGGUAGUUGGUAAGGUAACGGCUUACCAAGCCUAUGACGGGUAGCUGGUCUGAGA
rnacentral:rRNA from 1 species